UCGGUGACGUCUGUGUGCCAAGCUGAACUGAGCUGCUCAUCAGAUCUCUUUCUCUCUCAACAGGUCAGGUGAUCAGCCCACCAACUAUAGCUGGCAGUGACCCCUCUACUGAGAAGCCGGGACCCUCGACGUCGGAGUCGCCAGUUCAGGAGCUCGUGAAGUCCGUGCUGGUGAUGAGCGGAGGAGAGGGCUACAUCGACUUCAGGAUGGGCGAUGAGGGCGGUGAAUCUGAAGAUCUGGCCGACACCCUGCAGCUCCAGCCAUCCCUGGCCAAAGCCGAGAGAAGCCAUUUAAUUGUGUGGCAGGUGAUGUACAACGACGAGUGAGCUGCGCCAACACAACACACGCGGUGCCGUCAGCAGGAAGCCGAAGGCCCGGAGAAGCCGUCGCAUGCGCAGUUUGCUCUUCCCAUUUGCCUUUUUUUGUUGUUUUCUUUUUGAACUGACGUUGUCCUUUUAGAUUUCCGUUGUAAGAGCACACGCCGAUGACCGUCGCUUUCAUGUGGAUGUUCUGUGCCCCUCCAUUCGGGGGUACGCACGGGGCGGGGGUCCGGCCCCUCGUGAUAUGCACACCGUGUCGUGCACGUCUGCCGCGGGCCUCCCCCCCAACCCCACCGUUGCCACUCGUGUCAUCUUCUGCUUUUUCGGUUUUCCUUUGUGACGGGGAGCUGCGGUGUGUUUGUCCGGCCGUCUCAUUCGUGGGACGUUUGCAUGACGAGGGGACUUUGCUUUUCUCGGUUGCCUUUUGGUUUUUGUUCUUCCUCAGCUGUCAUCUCCCGAUGUCCUCACUCAGUUUUAGGUCUUCCUACGUUGCCAGAGCGCUAGCUUGCCGAUUGUAGACACUUUAAAUAACAUACAUAGGCUGCCUUAGUAACAAAGAGAAUACUUAGUUUUACGUAUUAUUAUGCUAAUUGUUCUGAGGAACUACAUUUGUAUUUACGAUGAUGAGGAACUAAAUAUUUAUUUCUAUGUGAGUGUUGCAAGUUACCAAAGGAAAAAAAAAUAUCGAGAGAGAGAGAGAGAGAGACCACCUCACUUAGGAGUCCGUGACAAGAGACCACUUUUUACGUGGUUCACGUCAAACCGAAAGGCUCCGCGGCGGCUCGGGAAACAUUCAAAUAAUCGGAACCCGGCGGUCGGUCACGGAGCCUGCGCGUUAAGUAUGAGCGGCGUCUGUGCGCGCGCGCCGGGUGUUGGGACGUCGCUUGUGUCCUCCGUUAUUUCACAUUUGCAACUCUUUGAAGAAAUGAAAACGAAACAAAAAGUGGGUGGACAUUUACAGACCCCGCUAAUCCGUGCAAAUCAGUCCACACACACACACGCGGUCUCCCGGUCAGUUACAUAAAAAGGGAGCAGAUCUCAGAAAUAAAGAUGAACAGCGCGCGCGUGUGUCCGUCCGUCCGUCUAUCUUAAUGUUAAUGCUGUGAGAUGCACGGGGUCUGCGAGCCUGUCUGGGGUGCGCGCGCGCGCGCGCAUGCGUGUAAACGUCAGCCCUCAACAGCACAGAGGUGGCGCACACAAACGCCCGCUUGCUCCGACCUCAUUUGUUUCCCGAUUGCUUAAAAUUUUAAAAUCUCUUUGGGGGAAAAAAAUAUCAAAGUGCGUACAGAGAGAGAGUGUCUGUGUGUUUACGGUAACUGUAAUAUAUCGACGUGAUACAAGCAAACACGCAUCUGUUAUGACGUCGCUUUAAUUUGCCGGUGGUUUAAAAAGUUGAUCUUGUUGGGAAAAAAUACCGGAUUUGUGCAGUGUGUGUGUGUGUGUGGCAUACCAGUAAAUGUAAUGUGCCCACAUGUGGAGCCCACUAACUGGCACUCAUCCCCAUCAUUUCAAAUUACAUUGACGGUAGCUGUGAUGUGCGCUGAUGUGCUGCACGCAGUCGAGCAGUCGGGCCGACGUCUCCCGAUUACCUAAACGUCGCCCUGCCUGCAUACGGUGUGUGUGUGUGUGUGUGUGUGUCUCUGUCUACAGGCACUCUAAUACGUACACGAUACACGCUAACAACCAGCCGCCGUUUCGGGUUUUCUCUUCCUCGUAGUGCGCGUGCGCUCAGUUGUGUGUUUUUUUUUACUGGCUACGAAUUCACGCGAGAUCCGCGCAGAGAGCUCCGGCUACGUUCAGAGUUGACGUCAUCCACACGUGAGUGAGUGUGAGUGAGUGUCUGGUGUGUGUGUGUGUAUUGGGGGACACACGCUAACGGGACCGCGUAUGUCGCUCCUCAGCGCGUUUUUUACUCCCGAUUUGCGGUUUCUUUCUCUAAAGAGAGGCGUUUUGUUUCGUUUCUCUCUCUCUCUCUCUCUCUCGAAUUGUUCAAAUCAGCCACAUUCGGAUACUUUUAAGCCAACUUUUAAAUAUUUUACGGUCUGUGUAAAUUUUUUGUACAUUAUGGUCCAUCUGACAGUUUCUUCUGUAUUUUACUUGCCUCUGUAAUUUAAAUACAGAAUUGCUACAGUGUUGAAUUUGCCGUCUGUUCUACUCGAGAUGGGGGCUUCAUUCUCCAAGCCUGGAUGUAACGUCCAUUUUGCAGUGUAGCCAUUUCAGUAUUUAUUUCUAUGAAUGAACCGCUGUGGUUCAGAAUGUAACUUUGUACAUGAGAUAUAUAUAUAAAUAUGUAUAUGAAACCUAA